UACGAAGGGGGCUAGCGUUGUUCGGAAUUACUGGGCGUAAAGCGCGCGCAGGCGGUCUUCCAAGUCAGUGGUGAAAGCCUGGAGCUCAACUCCAGAACUGCCAUUGAUACUGAAAGUCUUGAGUAUGGGAGAGGUGAGUGGAACUGCGAGUGUAGAGGUGAAAUUCGUAGAUAUUCGCAAGAACACCAGUGGCGAAGGCGGCUCACUGGCCCAUAACUGACGCUGAGGCACGAAAGCGUGGGGAGCAAACAGG
rnacentral:rRNA from 1 species